GCCGUUCACCACCUCAAUGGUGUCAACGACGAGCAAACCCAAGGGCUGCACACCAUGGGCUUCCGUGCGUUGGUUAAAGAAGACGAGGGCUGGAUUCAGAGCGUCGAGCGGC
rnacentral:rRNA from 14 species